rnacentral:miRNA from 1 species
CAACUUUGCUUAAUAUCUUUUUAACAAAUUAUGCGUAUUUAAGGAGAUACGUCUGCUCAUGCGCAGUAGCGUAACUCCUUACGCUUGCAUAUUUUGUUAAGAAGAUAUUAUUAAAAGUUGUUCGUCUUGAUCAGGGCUACAACAUUGCUUAAUAUCUUUUCAACAAAUUAUGCGUCUUUAAGGAGAUACGUCUGCGCAUGCGCAAGAGCGUAACUCCUUACGCUUGCAUAUUUUGUUACGAAGAUAUUAAUAAAAGUUG